UACGAAGGGGCUAGCGUUGCUCGGAAUCACUGGGCGUAAAGGGUGCGUAGGCGGGUCUUUAAGUCAGGGGUGAAAUCCUGGAGCUCAACUCCAGAACUGCCCUUGAUACUGGCGGUCUCGAGUCCGGGAGAGGUGAGUGGAACUGGCGAGUGUAGAGGUGAAAUUCGUAGAUAUUCGCAAGAACACCAGUGGCGAAGGCGGCUCACUGGCCCGGUACUGGACGCUGAGGUGCGAAAGCGGUGGGGA
rnacentral:rRNA from 1 species